rnacentral:tRNA from 1 species
GGAAGAUGACUGAGUGGUUUAAGGUGGUCGACUGUAAAUCGAUUUCUAAUUAGAAUCGCUGGUUCAAAUCCAGCUCUUCCC